rnacentral:rRNA from 1 species
GUAAAAAGUAGAAUAAUAGAUUUGAAAUAUUUAUUAUAUAGAUUUAAAGAGAUAAUCAUGGAGUAUAAAAUUAUUAAAGAUAAGUUUUAUAAAAAUUUUUAAUAAUAACUAUUAAUAGAAUUAGGUUACAAAUAAAUUAAUAAUAAUUAAUUUUAAAACCUAAAGGGAAACCUUAAUAUUAAUAAUAUAUAUUAUUUAUAUUAUUAAUAUGAUAAUAACUAAGUGAACUGAAACAUCUAAGUAACUUAAGGAGAAUAAAUCAACAGAGAUAUUAUGAGUAUUGGUGAGAGAAAAUAAUAAAGGUCUAAUAAGUAUUAUGUAAUAAAUAUGUAAGAAAAUAGGAUAACAAAUUCUAAGACUAAAUACUAUUAAUAAGUAUAAAAAGUACCGUAAGGGAAAGUAUGAAAAUGAUUAUUUUAUAAGCAAUCAUGAAUAUAAUUUUUAUAUUAAUGAUGUACCUUUUGUAUAAUGGGUCAGCAAGUAAUUAAUAUUAGUAAAACAAUAAAGUUAUAAAAAAAUAGAAAAAAAUAUAUAUAUAUAUAAAAAUAUAUUAAAAUAUUUAAUUAAUAUUAAUUGACCCGAAAGCAAACGAUCUAACUAUGAUAAGAUGGGUAAACGAUCGAACAGGUUGAUGUUGCAAUAUCAUCUGAUUAAUUGUGGUUAGUAGUGAAAGACAAAUCUGGUUUGCAGAUAGCUGGUUUUCUAUGAAAUAUAUGUAAGUAUAGCCUUUAUAAAUAAUAAUUAUUAUAUAAUAUUAUAUUUAUAUUAUAUAAAGAAUGGUACAGCAAUUAAUAUAUAUUAGGGAACUAUAAAAGUUUUAUUAAUAAUAUUAAAUCUCGAAAUAUUUAAUUAUAUAUAAUAAAGAGUCAGAUUAUGUGCGAUAAGGUAAAUAAUCUAAAGGGAAACAGCCCAGAUUAAGAUAUAAAGUUCCUAAUAAAUAAUAAGUGAAAUAAAUAUUAAAAUAUUAUAAUAUAAUCAGUUAAUGGGUUUGACAAUAACCAUUUUUUAAUGAACAUGUAACAAUGCACUGAUUUAUAAAAUAAAAUAAUAUUUAAAAUCAAAUAUAUAUAUAUAUAUAUAUUUGUUAAUAGAUAAUAUACGGAUCUUAAUAAUAAGAAUUAUUUAAUUCCUAAAAUGGAAUAUCAUAUUUAUUAAUAAUAAUAAAAAAUAUGAAUACUGAAUAUCUAAAUAUUAUUAUUAAUAAAAAGUAAUAAUAAUAAUAUGGUAAUAGAACAUUUAAUGAUAAUAUAUAUUAGUUAUUAAUUAAUAUAUGUAUUAAUUAAAUAGAGAAUGCUGACAUGAGUAACGAAAAAAAGGUAUAAACCUUUUCACCUAAAACAUAAGGUUUAACUAUAAAAGUACGGCCCCUAAUUAAAUAAUAAGAAUAUAAAUAUAUUUAAGAUGGGAUAAUCUAUAUUAAUAAAAAUUAUCUUAAAAUAUAUAUAUAUAUAUAUAAAAAUAUAUUAAUAUAUAAUAAAUAUAUAUAUAUAUAUAAUUAUAUUAUAUUUAAUAUAAACUAAUAAAGAUCAGGAAAAAUAUUAAUGUAUACCGUAAUGUAGACCGACUCAGGUAUGUAAGUAGAGAAUAUGAAGGUGAAUUAGAUAAUUAAAGGGAAGGAACUCGGCAAAGAUAGCUCAUAAGUUAGUCAAUAAAGAGUAAUAAGAACAAAGUUGUACAACUGUUUACUAAAAACACCGCACUUUGCAGAAACGAUAAGUUUAAGUAUAAGGUGUGAACUCUGCUCCAUGCUUAAUAUAUAAAUUAAAUUAUUUAACGAUAAUUUAAUUAAAUUUAGGUAAAUAGCAGCCUUAUUAUGAGGGUUAUAAUGUAGCGAAAUUCCUUGGCCUAUAAUUGAGGUCCCGCAUGAAUGACGUAAUGAUACAACAACUGUCUCCCCUUUAAGCUAAGUGAAAUUGAAAUCGUAGUGAAGAUGCUAUGUACCUUCAGCAAGACGGAAAGACCCUAUGCAGCUUUACUGUAAUUAGAUAGAUCGAAUUAUCGUUUAUUAUAUUCAGCAUAUUAAGUAAUCCUAUAUUUUAUAGGUAAUCGUUUAGAUAUUAAUGAGAUACUUAUUAUAAUAUAAUGAUAAUUCUAAUCUUAUAAAUAAAAAAAAUUAAUAAUAAUAAUUAUUAUUAUUAUUAAUAAUACUUAAUAGAUAUAUUAUUCUUAAGUAAUAUAUAAUAUAUUAUUAUAUAUAUAUAUAAGAGACAAUCUCUAAUUGGUAGUUUUGAUGGGGCGUCAUUAUCAGCAAAAGUAUCUGAAUAAGUCCAUAAAUAGAUAUAUAAAAUUAUUGAAUAAAAAUAAUAUAUAUUAUAUAUAUUAAUUAUAAAUUGAAAUAUAUUUAUAUUUACAGGGUAAUAUAACGAAAGAGUAGAUAUUGUAAGUUAUGUUUGCCACCUCGAUGUCGACUCAACAUUUCCUCUUGGUUGUAAAAGCUAAGAAGGGUUUGACUGUUCGUCAAUUAAAAUGUUACGUGAGUUGGGUUAAAUACGAUGUGAAUCAGUAUGGUUCCUAUCUGCUGAAGGAAAUAUUAUCAAAUUAAAUCUCAUUAUUAGUACGCAAGGACCAUAAUGAAUCAACCUAUGGUGUAUCUAUUGAUAAUUAUAUAAUAUAUUAAUAAUAAUUUUAUAAUUAAUAUAUUAUCUAUAUUAGUUUAUAUUUUUAUAUAUUAAUUAUCAUAGUAGAUAAGCUAAGUUGAUAAUAAAUAAAUAUUGAAUACAUAUUAAAUAUGAAGUUGUUUUAAUAAGAUAAUUAAUCUGAUAAUUUUAUACUAAAAUUUAAUAAUUAAUAGGUUUUAUAUAUUAUUUAUAUAUAUAUAUAAUUAUAUUAAAUAUAUAUAUAAUAUUAAUAAAAUACUAAUUUAUCAGUUAUCUAUAUAAUAUCUAAUCUAUUAU